GUUCAGUUCGUCCAAUCAGAAACUGUGAUGUCACUCAGCCACUGUCCUCCAGUGCACAUGGCCUUCCGGUCUCGACGAAAAAGGUGAAAUUUUUUUAUUGGUUUUUAAGGCAAGGUAGUGUUUUUGAGCGUACCAGGAGGAAGGUGGAGAACCGGUAACAGGAAGAGUGCUACGUGAGGAGCUGCUGUUGACUGUUCUCACAGAUACUGAUGGAUCUUCUUUACUUUUUGUUUGAAGCAGCCUGUGCCACAGUACAGUUCAGAAGUCGAAGACACCUCCAGCCUGAACAGCAGAUCCUCUACUCUACAUGUCCACUCUGCCAAAGCGUGUGUGGUCUUCAUCAGUCAUUACGAUGCAGCUUUGCCCCUUACUGUUGAUUGACAGAAGUAUAACACAAGAUGUUCCAAAGGGAUGCCAAUUUUGCAAAGAGAGCUUGAGAAUUUUUCCCCAGGCUAUCUUUGGUCGCAAGACCGUAACAAUGGCCAUCUUUGAACCUCUCUCACAGUGCGACGUAGGACCACCAUUUUGGAGCCAUGACCAAAGAUAUCGCCAUGUUUCUUUCACAUUGGUCAUCUUCUGUCUGGGAUAGCCCAAAAUCGCACAGUGUAUACUACUGUUAAAGAGUUUAAGUGUCUAAUUAUUCCUUUUAUCACAGUGCAAGCCAGUGAUGAUCACCAAUCCAUCUGUUCUCAAUUGGAGGAGGAGUAGAUGCAGGGUAACAGGACUGUGGAGCCAUUCAUUGCUUCAAUUGAGGACACUCUCCCUGUAGACACCACCAGUCCACCAACACUCCAUGGACCUGGACAGAGGAAGAGAGAGAAAGAGAUAUUGUCCAGCUAGGACUGCUGUAAAAGAUGAUGCUGCUAGAAAUCCUUCCUCUCAUUCAGAGCCAAACAGCAGUUCUAGCAGUUCUAUCAGACCAGUUGACUUCCCCCAACCACCCAUGACUUUUGUACAGUCCCAUUAUAAUAGUACACUGCCAGUGAUUGUAGAUAGGGGUCCUGCAGAGGGGAAAUGUGGAAAAUAUGUUGAUGACGGUAGAUGUCAUAGAGACUAUAACCCCAGGACCUCAAUGAGUAAUUGUCUUCCAAUGGUUCUUAUAAUGAAUUUUUAGAAUGUGUUUUCGCUCUAUACAUAUACUUUUAGCUCUAUACAUAUAAUGUACCUCUUUAUACUUUUUUUAUACUAACAAUAAAGUUGUUCUUCAUACUGUGCUGUUUGCUACAUAUGAUCUUUGUAAGUAUUUACAGCAUUCCAUAACUCAUAAGUCACCAAUGUAGUAGUACAUUUAUAGUACUACUAUAAAUGUACUACUACCUUUAUAGUAGUACUAUAAAUGUAGUAGUACUACAUUUAUAGUACUACUAUAAAUGUAGUACCCUCAAUACUAGAAACACUAGUGCUUGCCUUCUACUGGUUUUGGCUUGAAUACCUCAAAAACCUGAGUACAGAUUCAGACUUGAUUUAGACUUGUUUUCCACUUCCCUACUCAUUUUAAAAAGAUGAAAGAAAAACACAAAGUGUGAGCGAGAGAGAGAGAGACCAGCGGUGGUCGAGUGAACUAGAGAGUGAAUGAAGAGAGGGAGCGGCCCUGGCGAGAACAAAGGAGUGAAUCUGAGAAAUAAAAUGUUAUUUUCUGAUUGUUUCACAGUGGUGACAUUCUAUUGCACAA